rnacentral:lncRNA from 1 species
GUCCAGAGUAGUCUGGCAACGGUUGCAAGGUUUGGACUUGGCCUGCUAGGAGAGUGAGCCCUGAGCUUCAGGCUUGGUUCCCUCACUCCUGUGAGGCCUCACUCAGGCUCACAGCCCCUGAUGGAGCACUCAGCUUGGCGGCUGCCUGCCCGAGGUCUCCAGAAAAGGCAGCCAGCUCCUAGUUGAAGUCCUCCCACUUUACUUCCCCUUCCUUCCCCCUGCCACUCCCUCUCUUCUCCUUCACCCCUCCUUCCCUUCUGCCUCCCGUUCCCUCUGCUUCCUCCUUCUUCCCCCUCUUCCCCACCUCCUCACACACCCCAUUCUCACCUUCUGCUAUUUACAAAGCCCUUUCCCCUGUAUGAUCUCAUUUGCUGCUCACAGACUCCUAGGGAAGAGGGACAGGUUGAGCCCUCCCUCACUCCCUGGCACACUUUGAGGACACAGUGCGGAAGUGCUUAUAAAGAUCCCGUUAUCUGACUGUCACCACCAGCAAAUAAGUUGCGAAGUAAAAUGAAGGAUAUAAGAGCCCUGUA